CAGCCGUAAACUAUGCGCGUUAGGUGUACUGGUGACCACGAGUCACCGGGGUGCCGAAGGGAAACCGUGAAACGUGCCGCCUGGGAAGUACGGUCGCAAGGCUGAAACUUAAAGGAAUUGGCGGGGGAGCACCACGAACGGGUGGAGCCUGCGGUUUAAUUGGACUCAACGCCGGAAAUCUCACCGGAUAGGACAGACAUAUGAUAGUCGGGCUGAAGACUCUACUUGAUGAUCUGAGAGGAGGUGCAUGGCGUCAGUGACU
rnacentral:rRNA from 1 species